UAAGGCAGUUGUCUUUUGUUUUCCCUACCCAGCUCAUGGGAAGGAUAUAAGAUUUCCUCAAAGACAAGAUGGGAUAGAAGCUUUCUUAUUUUGAACAAAAUCUACUGGAUGAUUCUGAUAUGCCGACCACCUUCUAAUUCCUGGAUGAGAAUUCCUGAGUCUGGUUCAGCAGAAGAAACUGUGAUCCAGAGAUUGGAGAUUGUAUGUCCAGGUCUUUACCACUUAUCUGGACAAGAAAUUAUUCAAGGGGAAACACACAACCAAGCCCUACCCAAGGUCAAAGUCAAAUGAAUGGAGGAGUCAAGGCAUGAAACCAGUGACCCUGGCCCUGAAUCUAGUUAGUUAUGCCGCUGGCUCCGGGUCUCUUCCAAGAUUUCUACAUAGUUCCAAGCUCUCCUCGCUUUGCCAAAUGUUUACCACAUCUUUCAAGUGGAAGCAAGUCCUUUCAAUUACGCUUACCCGGGGAAACCCACCCUACUGCUCUGAAGGAGAAAUGGCCGAACCAGUUCGUCUAAAAUAAGAACUGACGUGAUUCUUUGUCUGGAUUCUGGAGCUGUUCUGACAGCAUUUUCUUGUUGGCUAAGGUCUCAUCAGUAAUGAACUGGAAUAUAAAAACAAAGACUGUUCUCAUGUUGUUUCCCAACCAAAGAAGGCUGAGCACUGAAUUGUUGGCAUGUUUAUCUGAGUCUUGAGCUUGACUUUUCCCUGCCUAAAUACUCCUUCCGGUUCCCACCAGUGUGUGCGCACACACACACACAAAAGCUAUGUUUCCCUGUCUGCACAA